GUGCUGCUGUUCCACGGCGGCGGCAUGACCUUUGUGAACACAGAAAAGAAAAUGUCUUCCAAUAUAAUUCUAUCCCUCGUGUUGGGAUGUUUGGCGUGUUACUCUGGAAAUGGCGACCACAACCGGGCG